rnacentral:tRNA from 1 species
AUCAGUGUGGAACAGUGGUUUGAGUUUUGGACUGUGACUCUGCAGACCAGGGUUCAAUUCCCUGCUUGGCCA